rnacentral:misc_RNA from 1 species
CAUCAAACUUGCCUUUCUUUUUUUGUGUAGUCAAGGAGAGAGAUGGCAGAUGUGAGGUGUCUCGCUGACUCCCUCUUCGGAGGAGAAGACGCGAGUCCCUUUAAAUGUACGUUCGCUCUUUCUUGUGUCUGAGAGAAGUGUGACCUUCGAAUGCGGUGAUCUGUUUGGAUCGCUUUGCGCGAGUGGGCGACUUCGGUUAGGACGUUAAAGGAAGCAACCAUUUUUGGCGGUAUGUUAGGCUUCGGCCCGACGUUGCAGCUGAGAGUGUGUGGUUUUCUGUUCUUUCCUUGAGGUGUACCUGUUUGUGUGAGGCAAUGGUCUGAGCAAAUGGUUAUUGUGUGAGAGUGGUUAUUGCUCUUGGACGCUCUAUUCGUAGAGUAAAGAAGGCAACACCAAUUUGGGACUAGUCUGUGGAAUGAAUGAAUUUUUAUUUCGCGGGCGCUUUUCAA